rnacentral:rRNA from 1 species
AAAAUUUAAAAUAAAAAUACUAAAACAGUAAAUAAAUAUUUAUUAAAACUUAAAUAAUUUGGCGGUAUUUUAGUUCAUUUAGAGGAAUCUGUUUAAUAAUUGAUAUUCCACGAAUAAAUUUACUUAAUUUAUAAUUUUGUAUAUCGUUGUUAUAAAAAUAUUUUUUAAUAAAAUUAAUAUUUAAAAAUUAAUAUUAUAAAUUAAAUCAGAUCAAGAUGUAGAUUAUAAUUAAGAAUAUAAUGGAUUACAAUAAAUUUAUUUAAAUGGAUUUUAAUUUGUAAUAUUUAAUUGAAGGUGGAUUUAAAUGUAAUUUUAUUUAAUUUAAUAAAAUGAUUAAAAAUUAAAAUAUGU